rnacentral:misc_RNA from 1 species
UUUCCGUAGGUCGCUAGAGUUCAGCCUACCAAAGCAAACCUUUCAAAACUGCUAGUCUCUCCCCGAGGCGACACGCUCAAUGUUGCGGAGAGGCCCUCUUUUCAGAGGGUAAUCCGCAGCCGGCCCCCUAAAGGCUGGUUCAGAGACUCAAUGAGUGUGGGUUUGGCCUUUUGGCCAGGCUUAAGAUAGAGCCCGUCCCUGUAGGCAACUGCGGGGGAUGAACGGAACCUGCGGAAGGAUCAUUAUCGAAUUUCGAGGGGAAGGAAGAUGAGGAGUGGAGACUAUCGCUGGCUUUCCCGCCUGGGAAGCAUGUGCACGCCUUGCUUUUCGUUGACCUUGCUCUUACUCUCACACCUGUGCACCCAUUGUAGGUCCUCGAAAGAGGAUCUAUGUUUUUAUCAUCACACGCAUCGUAUGUCCAUAGAAUGUAACAUGAUCGUCGAUCGACCUCGCGGUCGGGUGGCGGUCUAAAUAAAUAAAUACAACUUUCAGCAACGGAUCUCUUGGCUCUC